CCUACGGGUGGCAGCAGUGGGGGAUAUUGCACAAUGGGGGAAACCCUGAUGCAGCAACGCCGCGUGAGUGAAGAAGUAUCUCGGUAUGUUAAGCUCUUUCAGCAGGGAAGAAAAAAGACGGUACCUGACUAAGAAGCCCCUGCUAACUACGUGCCAGCAGCCGCGGUAAUACGUAGGGGGCAAGCGUUAUCCGGAUUUACUGGGUGUAAAGGGAGCGUUGACGGGAAUACAAGUCGGAAGGGAAAUUCCCGGGCUCAACCUGGGAACUGCUUUGGAAACUGUAAGGCUGGAGUGCUGGAGAGGUAAGCGGAAUUCGUAGUGUAGCGGUGAAAUGCGUAGAUAUUAGGAAGAACACCGAUGGCGAAGGCGGCUUACUGGACAGUAACUGACGUUGAGGCUCGAAAGCGUGGGGAGCGAACAGGAUUAGAUACCCGAGUAGUC
rnacentral:rRNA from 1 species